rnacentral:tRNA from 1 species
GCCCGGGUGGCUCAGUCGGUUGAGUGCCCAACUUUGGCUCAGGUCAUGAUCUCGCAGUUUGUGGGUUCAAGCCCCAUGUCGGGCU